rnacentral:piRNA from 1 species
UAGGGAUUUUGGAUAUUCUUGGUGUGACA